rnacentral:tRNA from 1 species
AGGGGCAUAGUACAACGGUUAGUACGUGGGUUUCCAAAACCUGAGAUCGUGGUUCGAUUCCACGUGCCCCUGCCA